GGAGAGGUGGCAGAGUGGUCGAUUGCGCUCGACUUGAAAUCGAGUGAACCGAAAGGUUCCGAGAGUUCGAAUCCCUCCCUCUCCG
rnacentral:tRNA from 1 species